rnacentral:rRNA from 1 species
UAGGGAAUCUUCGGCAAUGGACGAAAGUCUGACCGAGCAACGCCGCGUGAGUGAAGAAGGUUUUCGGAUCGUAAAACUCUGUUGUUAGAGAAGAACAAGGACGUUAGUAACUGAACGUCCCCUGACGGUAUCUAACCAGAAAGCCACGGCUAACUACGUGCCAGCAGACGCGGUAAUACGUAGGUGGCAAGCGUUGUCCGGAUUUAUUGGGCGUAAAGCGAGCGCAGGCGGUUUCUUAAGUCUGAUGUGAAAGCCCCCGGCUCAACCGGGGAGAGUCGUUGGAAACUGCGGGACUGGAGUGCAGAAGAGGAGAGUGGAAUUCCAGGUGUAGCGGUGAAAUACGUAGAUAUAUGGAGGAACGCCAGUGGCGAAGGCGGCACUCUGGUCUGUAACUGACGCUGAGGCUCGAAAGCGUAGGGAGCAAACAGG